CCGCCCGUCACACCAUGGGAGUUGGCUUUACCCGAAGGCGGUGCAGCAACCUUGGUCUUCGGAUUGGGGAGCUAGCCGACCACGGUAAGGUCAGCGACUGGGGUG
rnacentral:rRNA from 1 species